GGCCCAAAGCGGGGCUCGAACUCACGACACCACGAGAUCAUGACCUGAGCUGAAACCAAGAGUUGGAGCCACCCAGGUGCCCCCAAAUUUGUGUUGUUUGAAGCUGCUAGGUUUGUGGUCAUUCGUCGUAGCAGGCCUGGGCAACUAGCACGGGACCUCAAAUGUCUUCUGCUCCAACCCACUCCUUGAAUGACAAGAAAGGAAACCAAGGUAGUUACGAGGCAGGUGCCACAUCAAACACACAAACAGGAAGCAUGCUGACAGCUGAGAAGUCCUAGGUCCUAGCAGGGCUUCAGCAAGAAACUCCCAGGCUGAGGGAACAGAACCAUCUAGAACAGAGCCUCUCUCUCAACUCCCAGAACAAGAGUGGUUUACCCGAGGCACCUCCUUUUGUCAAUUACGCCAAAGCCCCACAAGAAAAGAAAGAAGGGGGGUGGGGCGGGGAUGCAGUUAAGUGCCGUGCAUAGCUGCCCCAGGCUCGCAGAAGGUUCUAGAAGGCACUCAUCAUGAGGGGCUCUGCACACAGCAAGCAGGCAGGACGCAACUCCAUUUAGCCACAAAGGAUCUCGAGGUGCUGACCUGCGGGCCAGGCGCUAGGCAGGUCCUGAGACAGGAAAACAAAGGAGCUAGAGCGGGAGCCCUCUCGGUCACUUGCAGCCGGGAACAAACAUAACAAAAUGUACGGGAGAAACAUAAAAGAUGGCAGGUCCAAAGGCGCAGAUGCAAGGAUAAGCACCAUUUUGUGGUUUUCCCACUUCAUUUUCAGUCCCAGAAAUCACAUCACGACGGGAAAAAUUCCAAACGUUUAAAAAAAAAAAAAAAUUUGUUUUUAAUUCUAAGCGGGCUCCAUGCCCAGCAUGGGGCUUGAACUCAUGACCCUGAGAUCAAGAGUCACAUGCUCCACCGACUGAGCCAGCCGGGAGCCCCUAAAUCUUUUUCUUCGUAGUCGUCUGAAUGUCUUCCGCCUCAAAGACGCAGAUUAAGUGUGCUUAUUUUAAUAUUUAUUUAGGAGAUAAGUGAUACGUGUAUGUUACAAAGAGAGAAAUCACAUCAGUCUACAGGUAGACUUGCUUCUCAUACCCAGAAAUGGAAGCAGCAAUUUGGAACCGGCGCCUCGAUGGAAAAGCAUGUAAGUCACCCUCGAGUUGGGCCGCCCUUUAAAGAACGCUGCCCUGAGCGUCGACGCCACUCGAGAUAUUUCCACGGUCGUGCUCUGUCUCGCCCGUACACCGUUGUGAAGGGUGACCGCGGCAUAACCCUCGAUCCACUCAACCAGACAGGCGCACACCACGCAUCUCAAGGGGCCACGACCUGUCGCCUGGGUUGUGAGGCGUGUCCCCCUGCCUCAGGGUCCUCUGUGUCCCGACAGGACUCAGAACACCUGACGUGAGCUCCAAGGGAAGGUCUCCCUGUCUGUCCGUUUAUAAACGUAGCCAAGUUAAUCUCCUUUUUGGGCAAAUGGAAAUAUAAACGGGGUCUCCAACUUUCUCUCCUGUCCCCACUGCCCCGGCUGAACCCCCUCUUGCUGGGGGAGAGUUAGCAGCCUCCCAUCCUGGGAUACUCUGGAGGAAGGAGGCAGGCAGGUGGCUGUACCGUGGGACCUCCGGGAAACAGACGCUGCUCGGCACAGUCCCGAGGGGAGGCGCGGACACACCCAGUCUCCCCUCGAUGUUCUUCGGAGCCAGAAGCCCGUCCGUGAGUCAGGGCGCUUCCCGCGAUCCCCCGCUUAGCCGCGUGGCUCUGCGGCCCCUCCCCUCCAGAGGCGGACUGCACGUCACUAGUCGUCCCCGCCGGGCGGGCCUCGUGAAACCCCUGACCAGUGCGGUGGAGCAGGAAGGACGUGGGACGUCCGAGGUGAGGCAGGUCCUCCUUUACACUCUUGGCACGUGCUCCCCGUCGCUUGAAGACGCCCAGGAUGAGAGGCUGAGCCAGGUGAGAGCAGCUGAAGGAUCACCAGUGCACGCAGGAGUCCUGAGGAGCGACGCGGCAGCGCUGUCGUAGGCCUCGGUGGCCCGAGGUAGUUUCUUACGCAGCAACACUCACCGAUGCAUCAGUGAGGCCCUCCGGUUCCUCGUCAGGGCACCUGUUUCCUGAUCGAGAAGGUGAGUUUGAAUUCCAUGGUCUCCAGGCCCCGAACGCUCCAGAGCCACGUUAGUGAACAGAGCCGUGGCAAAGAUGCCAGGUCAGAGGGAGCAGGACUCAGGAGCACACGACGCCUCCCCGUGGCCACAGUCCGCCCCGCUUCGGGGACGCUGACGAGGAGGGCGGCCAGUCCACUCCAGCCGCACUCCCGGAGCAUGGGGCGCGGUGCCGGGGACAGGUGAGCUCGGCCACCGAGGGCACGGCCCUCCAGACCUGUGGUCACGCCCCGCUCCACUAUCCCUGCCGCCUGCCCUUCCUCAAAAGGCCCCCGGCCACCCCAAGCCUGUGUCCUCCUCUGCCGACCACAGACGGGUGUAGCCACCCCCGGGAGCCGCUGCGAGGAGCAGACGCCGUACGCGGAGCGCCUGGUGCCCAGGAGGCACCAAACGUGGGGGCUGCAGCCUGCGCACUUGAGCUCAGAGGUGCGUGGCUGCGACCACCCCCACCAGGGAGGAGGAGGGGGUGACAGCUGGGCCGGCACUAGUCAGGGGGCUUUGAUCAUGCCUACGACUUGAACGGGUAGCGCGUUUAGGGGCAGAAGCGCUCGAUGCCGACCGUACGCGGUUCCCAGAGCCGAGACAGAAGGGGACGUUGGAGGGUAACUCCCCCUUGUUCAUCUGGACGAGCGCAAACAUCGUAGUAAGUCGUCAGUGCGGGCCGCACAUUCCUUGGGCCAUAAACCAAUGACCGUGGGCUCCCCGUAGAAGCAAAAGGGUACUUUUAAAAGCAGCAGCCCUGAGUCACUGGUACCUCCCAGUGGUUGGGUCAUUCUAUUUUUCCCUCGUCCUUCUCUAAACUCUUAACUUCCCCAUUGUGGAAUAUCAUUGGCUUGACCUCUGACUUCAGGCUUAUUUGCAGAGGCGGUUAGACUUUCUGUUCUGAAAAGGCUCUUUCUCCGAAAUAAAUAUUUAAUUACCCUUUGA